rnacentral:rRNA from 1 species
UGAGGAAUAUUGGUCAAUGGGCGCAAGCCUGAACCAGCCAUCCCGCGUGAAGGAAGAAUGCGCUAUGCGUUGUAAACUUCUUUUCCAGUGGAAUAAUUUGCCAUACGUGUAUGGUAUUGAAUGUACGUUGGGAAUAAGCAUCGGCUAACUCCGUGCCAGCAGCCGCGGUAAUACGGAGGAUGCGAGCGUUAUCCGGAUUUAUUGGGUUUAAAGGGUGCGUAGGCGGGAUGAUAAGUCAGUGGUGAAACCCUGCAGCUUAACUGUAGGCUUGCCGUUGAUACUGUUGUUCUUGAGUAUGGUCAAGGCAGGCGGAAUGUGUAAUGUAGCGGUGAAAUGCUUAGAUAUUACACAGAACACCGAUAGCGAAGGCAGCUUGCUGGGCCUGUACUGACGCUGAUGCACGAAAGCGUGGGGAUCAAACAGG